rnacentral:rRNA from 1 species
GAUGAACGCUAGCGGCAGGCUUAACACAUGCAAGUCGAGGGGUAACAUAAGAAUGCUUGCAUUUUUGAUGACGACCGGCGCACGGGUGCGUAACGCGUAUAGAACCUACCUUAUAGUAAGGGAUAGCCCAGAGAAAUUUGGAUUAGUACCUUAUAGUAUCAAUUGAUGGCAUCGUUAAUUGAUUAAAGAUUUAUUGCUAUAAGAUGGCUAUGCGUUCUAUUAGUUAGUUGGUAAGGUAACGGCUUACCAAGACAUCGAUAGAUAGGGGCCCUGAGAGGGGGAUCCCCCACACUGGUACUGAGACACGGACCAG